GAUCUUUUAUCACGGCACUGCCACUGUCUAUAACUGCACUCCCUGGAGAAAUAUUGUUUAAUUUUUGGAAAAAGAAAUUUCAGAAAGAAGUAGACAGUUUUGCAGUUGCAUUGUGCAUUUCAAGGUUUUAUUAAGGCUGUCAAACUGAUGUGAAAAAAAAAUAAGACAGAAGCUAAAGACUACCUAUCACAGAGUAAAAGUGAACCACCAUAUUAUUAUUGACUAUUGAGAAGGAGAACAACAAUAUUAAGGAUUAACACUGCUUCUGUACAGCUUGGUUUUGGAAAGUGCCCCACGAACAGCUUUGACCAUAUCUUGGAAAAAUACGGCAAAAGAAAGAUACUGUAUGUACUGUAAAUGACUUCUUUUGCAUUAGAGUCAGUGGAGCACAGCCAUGAACGUGUUGGACCUCAGUUAGAGAGAGUCUUAUACUUCACUGUGACUGGCCAACGGCAUAUCCGGGGCAUGGCUUAGCGAAGGGUCAAUUAAGAUACGUGGAAGAACUGGACAGCUUUCAAGUGUGAAGCAGAGCAUUCUUGAUUAAAAAAAAGCAAGCAUCAAGGACACGGCUAAAGAAAUCCA